UAUUACAAAAAAAAAAUCAAAAUUUUGUAAGAGCAUCUCCAAUGGUGUUACCACCAUUGGAGUCCUUAUGAUUAUUAAACUAAUUUUUUUUUUUUAGAAUAGUUAAGGAUUCUAAUCAAAAUAGUAUGUCCAAUGGUGUUUUCCUAUUU